rnacentral:misc_RNA from 1 species
GAUGAAGAACGCAUCGAAAUGCGAUAAGUAAUGUGAAUUGCAGAAUUCAGUGAAUCAUCGAAUCUUUGAACGCACAUUGCGCCCGCCAGUAUUCUGGCGGGCAUGCCUGUUCGAGCGUCAUUUCAACCAUCAAGCCCCCGGCUUGUGUUGGGGACCUGCGGCUGCCGCAGGCCCUGAAAACCAGUGGCGGGCUCGCUAGUCACUCCGAGCGUAGUAAUACAUCUCGCUCAGGGCGUGCUGCGGGUUCCGGCCGUUAAAAAGCCUUAUUUACCCAAGGUUGACCUCGGAUCAGGUAGGAAGACCCGCUGAACUUAAGCAUAUCAAUAAGCGGAGGA